UGGUCAUUUAAUAGCAGAUAUAGGGGGAGCACAAAUAUAAAUUUUCCCUAUGGUCGAAAAUAAUAUUUUUUUAUUACAGUGUCAGGUGUUCGGCCCAGCUUUUAAAAACCUCGACUAAUUUCAUAGGCUAUCUGUCACCUCCAAAGUUAAGACAAACUGAAAGAAUCACCUAGUUGGUCAAACAUAAUAUCACAAAAGAAUAGCAAGUUUAGUGGUAUCACACAAUUAAACUAAAA
rnacentral:lncRNA from 1 species